GCCUGGGUGGCUCAGUCAGUUAAGCGUCUGACUUCGGCUCAGGUCGUGAUCUCACAGUUUGUGGGUUUGAGCCCCACGUCAGGCU
rnacentral:tRNA from 1 species